UGAUGCAGCCAUGCCGCGUGUAUGAAGAAGGCCUUCGGGUUGUAAAGUACUUUCAGCGGGGAGGAAGGUGUUGUGGUUAAUAACCGCAGCAAUUGACGUUACCCGCAGAAGAAGCACCGGCUAACUCCGUGCCAGCAGCCGCGGUAAUACGGAGGGUGCAAGCGUUAAUCGGAAUUACUGGGCGUAAAGCGCACGCAGGCGGUCUGUCAAGUCGGAUGUGAAAUCCCCGGGCUCAACCUGGGAACUGCAUUCGAAACUGGCAGGCUUGAGUCUUGUAGAGGGGGGUAGAAUUCCAGGUGUAGCGGUGAAAUGCGUAGAGAUCUGGAGGAAUACCGGUGGCGAAGGCGGCCCCCUGGACAAAGACUGACGCUCAGGUGCGAAAGCGUGGG
rnacentral:rRNA from 1 species